CGGUCGCAGUAACUCCACACUCUGGGGAUCCAGUUGGACGACACAGGCUGUGCCACAGGCUCUGUGGGCCGCCUGAGAAAGGAAAUUAAUUCCUCUUUGAGAGAAAAUUACUUUAACAGAUAGCAUGGCGGAGGCAGGCUGUAACUUUGCCGCCGUUGCUCGCCCCCCCAGUCCCUCCAAAGCCUCCGAAGGCAGCAGAGGCAGCGCAGCAGAAGAAAAGGCACCUUAGUUGCAGCAGAUGCAGUGAGUCUUCACAGUGAUCCAUCUUUCUUAAUGCCGAAUCUCCCUGUGACCUGAGGACCUAAAGGUGCUGCAGCCUUCAUGGCUCCGAGGUCACAGGAGGUGCAGUGUGCAGCAGGAGAACAGUGACCUCCACUGGUAGGUCACGAUAUUAGUCUGUGAUUGGAGGAAUGGGGAUGUAUAUACAAGCCUGCAAGUGCCCGAGGUGUCGUGUGAGUUCCUGUUUUAAAAAAGUGGAUGGAAGUCUCAUUUAUCAGUGCUGUAUGUGGAGGCAAAAACCUGCUUAUUUCUUAAAUUGAGUUAAUGACACACGAUGCUUAUGAACCAAACAAAUGAAAACCAGUAGUAAUAGAAAGACACAGUAUUACAAUUUUUCUCUGCUUUAAGAUGAACAUGCCUUCACUUCCUUCAUUUAGCUUUGAAUUUUUCACAAUGAAGUGACUGUAGAGAAUAUUAUGUACCCAAAGGUUUGAGAAAAGAUGCCAAUACAUAGAAGAUGAGGUUUUUAGCAGGCCAAUGUUCUCUACAACCACAGAUAGAUUUAACAUCCAAUGGUCCAAAAUAAUUUCAUCACACCCCAUAGAGUUUAAAUGAGCGAACAAAAUAAAAGGCAAAAUAAGCAUGCUUCGAGUUUCUUUGAAAUGUGAAUGUGCAAAUAAAUUUAGAUUUGGUGUUAUUUUUGUGUUUUUCAGUCCAUUGUUCUUUUUUUUGUCAUGUUUGGCUCUGAUGUUAUUUUAUUAGGAUGGCUAUUGUGACAAUUUUGUUUGAUCUAUGUAAUGUAAGUCCAUCUUUCAUGUACUGUUUAUAACCUGUAACAAAUGCCUUUAACUGAUUUUCUGUGGGAAAAAAAUGCAAAGGAUAUGCCUUGCCUCAGUAUAUCUUCUGCUCCCCUACAGCACCUAUAGUGUGCAACUGUGGCCAAAAAAAGCUCAAAAAUGGAGUCUACUUACGUCAACAAGCAACUGACUCCUACCAUAAUACAGACUCCAACACAAACCCUCAA